UGUUUAGGGUUCUUCUUUUCCAAUUUCAGCUCCCACUAUUACUUCUUGUUCCAAACUCGUUUUCGCAAUUACGGUUUUCGCCAUUACAGUUUCAUCAUUUCAACUUCCAAACUUGUUAAUGGCAUCUGAAUCAUUUAGCAUCUCCAACCAACUCUCCCAUUCUAGGAGAAGAAGGAUGCAAUGUUAUUGUGGUUGGAGUACUCACCACUUGUCACUAUAUGGACAUCUCAUAAUUCAGACCGCAGGUUCUAUGGUUAUGGGUUAUACAAGUUACAAGGAAGGAAAUGGUGUGCACUUUUUGACUGGUUUGAUGAGCAAAUGUUAGAACAUUCAAUGAGGUCAUUAACUCACUAUUGAAGAAAGUUAAUGAUUUGAAGAAGAAUGAUGUUUUGGUGAAGAAGAUAGACGAUACAUUGAAAAAGAAAAUCAAGUUUUAGUUAUUCAUUUGGUUUUAUCUUGGGUUCUGAUUUUCUUGUUGACCACAAAAAUUAUGGUUGGAUAAGUGUAAUGUUAACUAUCAUGAAAGUUUAUAGUGUGAUAUUGUGAUAAUGUUAAUGGAAUGAAAGUUUGUAUUGUGAAAAAUGUUAAAUUAAUAAAAGUUUAUAUUAUGAUCAAAGAAUGUCAUAUCCUGUAUUGUGAAACAAUGUUAAAUUAAUGUAAAAGUUUG